rnacentral:rRNA from 1 species
UACGUAGGUGGCGAGCGUUGUCCGGAUUUAUUGGGCGUAAAGCGCACGUAGGCGGCUUUCUAAGUCAGGGGUGAAAUCCUGGAGCUCAACUCCAGAACUGCCUUUGAUACUGGAGAGCUUGAGUCCGGGAGAGGUGAGUGGAACUGCGAGUGUAGAGGUGAAAUUCGUAGAUAUUCGCAAGAACACCAGUGGCGAAGGCGGCUCACUGGCCCGAUACUGACGCUGAGGCACGAAAGCGUGGGGAGCAAACAGG